rnacentral:rRNA from 1 species
AUUGAACGCUGGCGGCAUGCCUAACACAUGCAAGUCGAACGGCAGCACGGCAGUAGCAAUACUGUGGGUGGCGAGUGGCGGACGGGUGAGGAAUACGUCGGAAUCUGCCCAAUCGUGGGGGAUAACUAACCGAAAGGUUAGCUAAUACCGCAUACGACCGAGAGGUGAAAGCGGGGGACCGCAAGGCCUCGCGCGAUUGGAUGAGCCGACGUCGGAUUAGCUUGUUGGUGGGUAAAGGCCUACCAAGGCAACGAUCCGUAGCUGGUCUGAGAGGAUGAUCAGCCACACUGGAACUGAGACACGGUCCAGACUCCUACGGGAGGCAGCAGUGGGGAAUAUUGGACAAUGGGCGGAAGCCUGAUCCAGCAAUGCCGCGUGUGUGAAGAAGGCCUCGG